CAGUUGAUUGUGCAUUCUGAUAAAAUGACUGAUUUUUUGACAGCCUGAGCGGAAAAGAUCAUCAGAGUCAAGUAGGGAUAAAUUUGUAUACAACUGAUCUUUUCUGUAUGCCGGUGCUUGAAGUAGGGUAUCCAUGAAGAUGAGAAUGGUUUUGUUGAUGAAUGAAUAACUUGAAACACCUGCAUUUGAAACAUGCGAGACCUUUCCUGCGCGUGAAUAACCGGAGAAACACGGAUACUUUCAUUGCUCAUUGAGUGCUUUUGGGACUCUAGUGCUAUUUGAGGGACCCAAAGGAAGCUUCCGUAGCUGAAAAUGUUUAAAGUUUAAGAAAGGGGCAGGCCACCGAAUUGGGUGCGACUGGCAUGGCAGACCUAUCGCAAUAAAAAGGAAUGUAUGAGGGUUGCGAAUUAAUGACUGAAAAGUAAAAUAAACACUAUCUUUGUCUAGAAAACCUCGAUAAAGCGAAACGAAGCAUUAGAGCAUUGAAGUGUAGCAAGUUUUUGCUUCCGCUAGGCGUUUAAAACGUACAAUUUUACGGAAUCGUUCUGGACUGCUUGUUUACUGUAUGGAAUAUGAGACAAGACUUGUGUUAAAUGGUAGUUCAGUCUGAUAUUUUCUCGAAUGACUAGUCACGAUGGUUGACCUAAGGCACAAAUAAACUAAGCGAACCACCGUUUGAGCUUAAAAAGUCUGUUUUGAUGGAGCAGUAAUUUUAAAGAUGUAGUUUAAAAUCUGCAUCUGUUGCUUUGCAUUUUCAAUCCCUGUGCUUUCCUAGAAGCGAUGUGUUGCCCAAGCUUCCUGUUAUAUUAUCCAUGAUGAAGCUGCGAUUUUGAAGAAGUGGUUUGAUCUGCAUCUGCAGCUACUUUGCAUUCACAAUCCCGUUGCGUUUCUAUAAGUAAUGCGUCGACCAAGCUUUCGGUUAUAUUGUCCGUGACACCAAAAUGACAAAGAACCUCACCAUGCCGGUUGCAUAACUGAUAU